UUACCCCAUUCCAUAUUGGUAAACUGCUAUUAGGAUUUUUACCAAUCUCCCAUGUCCCAGGAAACAAUGAUCUUCACAGAUUUGCAUGACAGGCAGGAGAGAAUGCAGCAGAAAUGGCAGAAUAUAAAACCAGCAAAGAACUCAGAUAAAUGGACACAAGAAUAGCUUGUUUUAGGGACUAAAUUUCAUCAACCAAUGCAGGGAAUUUAACCCCCAGUCAAUCUGCCAUUCAAGAAGAAUAUUACAGUGUUUAUCUUACCCAAAACACCACCACUCACCACCCAACCGGGAAUAACCAGAAAGUUUACAAGGACUUGUGUUACAGAGAAUUCUAUCUCACACUACCUUAC
rnacentral:lncRNA from 1 species